GCAAGUCGUGCGAGAAUUUUAUGAUUUAACCUUCGGGUGAUUGAUUACACGUAAAGCGGCGGACGGGUGAGUAACGCGUGGGUAACCUGCCCCAUACAAAGGGAUAGCCACUGGAAACGGUGAUUAAUACCAUAUAACAUCAUAGUGUCGCAUGACACAUUGGUCAAAGAUUUAUCGGUAUGGGAUGGACCCGCGUCUGAUUAGCUAGUUAGUAAGGUAAUGGCUUACCAAGGCGACGAUCAGUAGCCGACCUGAGAGGGUGAUC
rnacentral:rRNA from 1 species